rnacentral:rRNA from 1 species
UACGUAGGGGCCUAGCGUUGUCCGGAUUUAUUGGGCGUAAAGAGCUCGUAGGCGGUUUGUCGCGUCUGCCGUGAAAACCCGAGGCUCAACCUCGGGCCUGCAGUGGGUACGGGCAGACUAGAGUGCGGUAGGGGAGAUUGGAAUUCCUGGUGUAGCGGUGGAAUGCGCAGAUAUCAGGAGGAACACCAAUGGCGAAGGCAGAUCUCUGGGCCGUAACUGACGCUGAGGAGCGAAAGCAUGGGGAGCGAACAGG